UGGCGGACGGGUGAGUAACGCGUGGGUAACCUGCCUCACACAGGGGGAUAACAGCGAGAAAUUGCUGCUAAAACCGCAUAAGCGCACAGUAACGCACGUUACGGUGUGAAAAACUCCGGUGGUGUGAGAUGGACCCGCGUCUGAUUAGCUUGUUGGUGAGGUAACGGCCCACCAAGGCGACGAUCAGUAGCCGACCUGAGAGGGUGACCGGCCACAUUGGGACUGAGACACGGCCCAAACUCCUACGGAAGGCAGCAG
rnacentral:rRNA from 1 species